UGUGGUUCUAAGUCCAAGAUGGCUAGUCUCAAGGAUGAGCUGAUUGUGACUCUCCUUAAGGAAGAGCAGGUGCCCCAAAAUAAGAUCACAGUUGUUGGGGUUGGUGUUGUUUGCAUGGCCUGUGCCAUCAGUAUCUUAAUGAAGGACUUGGCAGAUGAACUUGCUCUUGUUGAUGUCAUGGAAGACAAACUGAAGGGAGAAAUGAUAGAUCUCCAACACGGCAGCCUUUUCCUCAGGACACCAAAAAUUAUCUCUGGCAAAGACUAUAAUGUAACCACCAACUCCAAGCUGGUUAUUAUCACCACUGGAGCACAUCAGCAAGAGGGAGAGAGCCACCUUAAUUUGUUGCAGCAUAAUGUGAACAUCCUCAAGUUCACCAUUCCUAAUGUUAUGAAGUACAGUCCCAACUGCAAGUUGCUUGUUGUGUCCAACCCAGUGGACAUCUUGACCUAUGUGGCUUGGAAGAUAAGCGACUUUCCCAAGAACCAUGUUAUUGGCAGUGGUUGCAACCUGGAUUCAGCCCAGUUCUGCUACCUGAUGGGAGAAAGCCUGACAUGCACCCACUGAGCUGCCACAGCUGGAUCCUUGGGGAGCAUGGAGACUACAGUGUCCUUGUGUGGAGUGGCAUGAAUGUUGCUGGUGUCACCCUGAAGAAUAUGCACCCUGAGUUAGGAACUGAUGAGGAUAAGGAGCAUUGGAAAGAGGUUUACAAACAAGUGGUUGAAAGCACUAAUCAAGUGAUCAAACUGAAAGGCUACCUAUCUUGAGUCAUUGAACGGUUAGUGGCAGAUUUGGCAAAAAGUAUAUUGAAGAACCUUAGGAGGGUACACCCAAUUUCUACCAUGAUUAAGGGGCUGUAUGGAAUAAAGGAUGAUGUUUUCCUUAGUGUCUCUUGUGUCCUAGGACAGAAUGGGAUCUCUGAUGUUGUGAACGUGACUCUGACUUCUGAGGAAGAGGCACGUUUGAAGAAGAGUGUGGAUACCCUGUGGUCGAUCCAGAAGGAGCUGCAGUUUUAGAGUCUUCCAGUGUCACCACAUC